rnacentral:siRNA from 1 species
CGGGUGAGUAAACCCGUAAGGCG